CAUCAACAAUUUCUGUCUAUGACACCUGUCAGUUUGCUGGACUGUGGCCAUCCCAGCUGAUGCCUGUCUUCAUCCUGUGGCUGCUCUCCCAUCUUUGGGGAUGAGCAAAAUGGAAAUCUGAGAUACAAAGCAGAUUGAUGAAAACAUCCUGCUUUGAACCGUUCCUGACUCAACAAGGAAGACCAUCGUUUCCACUUUGUUUCCUGUUUGAGAUGUUGGCAGGUUUCAACUUCCCUGUUUCAACCAUGCAAACAAAUUCUUACUACUCUGCAUGACGGAUCACAUCCUGCCGCACUUGCUUUCACCUCUUUAAAGACAGAAGUAUGAACCUGCUUCUGUUCUGCAAAUGGAGGACACAGAAAAAACACGUUUUCACCUGUGGAAACCUGGGUGGGUUUUGUGUGUUGAGAGUUACAUUUACUGGCUGGGAAGGAGCAUGCAGGUUUUCCUACCAUGGGCCCUGGUGUGCUACCAGAACUCAGGAACUGGAGCCUUUUCUAUCUACUACAUCAUUUGAAAGAAUUGAUCAUUAAUUUCUAAUUGUAGGACGCACGGUGUAAUCCCACCGCUGUCAGACUGUGCUCUUGCUUACCCAUGUGUAACCUCCAGGAGACACUUUAUUAUUCUUGAUGGAUGAGCCUGGAUGAGCUCAUUGUGACUCUCAGAACCUAAGCUGCGUUUACAGCCCUGGAAGAUGAGAAUCUGGAGGAGAAACAUUUUGCUAGUAAACAGAGCAAAUGAACAUACAAUAAACCUCUGAGACACAGUAAUCCCAGAAACCCAUGACACUAUUAAUAAUGGGUCCUUUUCAAAGUGAAAGCAUACUACAUGCCCCAAAGCCUCCUGAAUUAUGUUUGGGUAAGCUGCAGACAUCACAUUCCUUGGAGGGCAAUAGCUUGUAUCUUCCACUUCUCUGAUGCCACUUAUUUUUUCUCUUUAUCAGAGAUGGAUAUGGUUCCCUUAAGAAUUCUCAUUUAAGUAGCUUCAAUCUUUUUCCACUUUACACAUAUUGAUCUUCUAGGCAGGUUGGGUAUUCUGGUUAGUGGAAAGUUUUAGGGGUUUGCAUUAGUUUUUAUUCUCAGGAAGGAUGAAAGAAGGAAUUUUGACUCAUUGUUACAGAAGAUGUGAUUGUCUUUACAUGCAAGUGUACAUAUUCCACUUCCUACCUAUAUCAUGCUUUUAUAUCAUGGCUAGCAGAGACACUUAUCCAUGUGGAAGAAAAAAAACAACACCCAUCCUUGUUCCAGAUUUGAGCCUGAAUGAAGAUCAUAGCCAGCACAGUAUCACUUUUCUGGGCUUGUUAUCUCUGUUAUUGCCCCCAGUCCUCAUCUUCCUAACUUGAGAGUAUUUUCUGAUACAGAAGGCUGUAUCAGCCGUCUCUGUGCAUUGCUCUAUGUGGCUGCAGGCUAUGGCUUUGUGCUCUUGGACAGCUCAAGCUUGAGUAAGGCCCUAUGUAGAUAGAUUUCCUCCACAACUUCUUAAAUCAAAGCAAGAAUGCCACAGAACCUCAAAAGUACUGAGAUGCCCUCUGCCUCCUGAAACACCUAAUUUGAGUGUCAGUUAACAAAAUGACCACUGAGUACUUAAAUGUUCACCGGUGGCUGUGAUUAAAGCUCACAAUACCCAAAAUUCAUCAGAAGAAUGUUCACAGGUCCAUUCUGAAAAGUUAAGCCUCUUUUCCUGCUCCGUACACAUCCUGAGACCAGUCAGGAGAUUCGCAGCCAAUGUAAAAGACUUUUCUUCCACCAGAGAUGGAGCUCUGCCCUAGUCCUCAUGGAUGAAGAUCCCAGGUAGCAUACAGGUGUUCAAGUUCCUGCCUCUAACGGCCAGUGCAGGGUUUUGAGCUGAGUCUAUGACAUCCAUGUGAGGUGCUCUAAUCAUUUUGGGGAGCUGCCAGUCUGCAAUGAGUUUUCUCACACUCAGUCUGAACUUAGGAACCAAAUCCUAGCUCAACCGUUAUGGCUGAUGUUCACAAAGCACAAGGGAUGCCUCCUUUCCAUCCAGGUCAGGCCACACCCAGGGGCUGCAUUGUCUUUCCUUGGGAGGAGGCACAGCAGCUCUGAAGAAUUCAUGCCUACGUUUGGUAUUGCAAUGCCCACAACUCGUGUGACGAAGUGGAGUGGGAGCUACUGCUGCUGCUGAGUCACAUCCCCAGGGUUUACGCUGAUGCUGCACUAGUCGGUCUAGCAGUUUUCAAUGCUUUGAUGGACCGUGUUUCUGAAAAUUGGCCUUCCUGCGUUAUAAAUGUUAUUGAUUAUAAUGUGAGUUGGAUUGCAGCUGGAACAGUAAUAGACUCACAAAAGAUUAAAUUUUUUUAAAUUUUUUUUUUUUUUAACUGGACUUUGGGGUUAAGUGGGUACUCCAUUAUGCCAUUAUUAUAGUUUCAAUAUUAUUAUUUUUCUUUAACUGGGGUUGUUUAUUAUGCAUGUGUUGAAGCACAAAUGUGGAACAAAUGAAUCUGAUAUCAAAUUAAUGCUACGAUCAGUUUUUCCCCCCUUCCCUCCUUAGUUGCCAUAACAAUCUGUGAUCUUGAAGCAACAAUAAAAUUAGAAUUGUAUUAGAGGUGUUUACAUCAUGUACACUCAGUAUCCCAUUAUUAUUUUUCACUUUAAUGAAAGCAUUGACUGUUUGCUUUAGAAGAGAACACCAUUAGAGCGCUUCCCUUUCCACAUCUCAUGUUGCUUUUUUUUCAGCCAAAAGUUGUUUGUUUUAAGAAGAGGCAAGAGUAUUCUAGGCUGGAACUUUUGGAAGAGUGGUGAUUUUGUUUGCGUUUUUUAAGAUAAUUGUCUUUUACUUGUAGGAUGCAAUUUUGAGUGAGCUACCUUUGAAUUUCAGAACUUCAAAGAAAUGCAUCUCUGCUUUUAAAUGUGUUGCAAAUCUCCCCCCUCCUACUGUUGUGGGAAGUACAUCUUCUAGUUCUUCUCCCUACUGGCAAAAAGCAAAAUAAAGCAACGAGUGCAAGGAAGAGAUUUCAUCGAUGUUUAUUUUGUGCAUGUGUGUGGGUGCAUAUGUCCAUGUACAAAUGUAUGUAUAUAAUGUUAUUAAUUCCAUGAUGGAAUAAGCUUCUGCACCUAGGGACAGGAAGAAAGGAAAAAACAUGACAGAUGUUAGUCAUAUUGCCCAGUGCAUGACUUGAAAGUGCUCUGGUAGUUCGGCAAUGAGCAUUAUGGAAAAACAUUUAUGGAACAAAGAGGCCGUUAUCUCAGUAUCUCAACUGCACCGGGCAUCGCGGAGCCCCUUUACUGCUGUUCCUAUCCUGUCUGGCACAUUAUUCAUUGCUGUGACAUCUUUCUGUGUAGUCUUUGUAGAUAAUCCUUGUGAUAAAUCUACCUUCAGAAAAAUGGAAGUUUUUCAUUUUUAAAUAUGUAACGUGAUCACCUUCUGCCGAGGCUGGACUUGAAUAGAAAUACCAUGAGAAGAUUUUUCCCUCUCCAACUGCUAAGCCUGCUGUUCUCAGAUGGAAACUGUCCUUUGAUUUUUUUUUUUACAAGUUUAGCCUCUGUUAGGAACAUGGGAUCCAUCUAUUUAUGAGCGUCGUGUGUGAUUUUUUCCCUGAUUAAUCUGAAUAUAAGGCAUACAGCAACACGCUAAUUCUAUUGGCGCUAACAUAUCUUUGAAUUCUUUAUUUCAGAUUCUGUACAACACAGAGGAGAACUGCUACAUUGGGCACAGGGAUUUGGGGGAGUAGGAUAAAAGAAAAUCAAAUGCCAUGUAGGCUGAGUGAGGAAUGUAUUUAGCUCUCAUAAAUCUCUGAAGACAAGAUCUCUCCAGAGCUGGGUUCAUCUAGUGAUCCCCUCAUUGGCUCCAGUCCUAAAGAUCAAACAGUGGUGGAUUAAAUAGCACGUAUUCUGCAAUGACGCGCUGCUGGGGAUUAGCUAGGUAGGAAUCACCUAACUAAAAGAUCAAAGCAUCAUACUACAAUUUUGACUGGCAGGGACCUUGGGAGGUCCUAGUUCAACCCACUGCUCAGGGCUGAGCCAAAUUCAGUGUUGCUUAGGGCCACACCUAGUUGAAUUUUGAAUGUCUUGGAAGAUGGGGAUCCCACCUCCUCGCAGGACAUCUGUUCAUGGUGAAAUUUUCCUCAUUAUAUCUAAUUGGAGUUGUCCUUGCAGACAACUUGCAGACAAUUCUUGUGCCCAUGCUGUCCAGGUAGUGUUUUGUCCUUUUCUUGUAUGCCCUUGAGAAACAAGUCAUAGAAUCAUAGAAUAGUUAGGAUUGGAAGGGAUCUUAAAGAUCAUCUAGUUCCAACCCCCGUGCCAUGGGCAGGGACAUCCUACUAAAUCAGGCUGCCCAAGGCCCCAUCCAACCUGAUCUUGAACACCUCCAGGGAUGGGGAAGCGAUUCCAUCUUCUUACAGCCACCCAUGUUGAAGACAACUAUAAUAUCCCACCCCCCUUCCUCUUCCUUUGAAGCUGUCUCUUCUCCAGGAUGAACAGACCGUCUGUCCCAGUCUCAUCUUAUACAUCGUGUGCUCUGGCUCCCUCAUCGUCUUGAACUGUCACCAAACUGGAAUCACUCCAAAUGGCUGAUCACUCUCUUGGUGACCCCAAACUGGUCACAUUAAUCUAGAUGUGGUCUCGCAAGAACCAAAUAAAAGCAAAUAAUCCAUUCCCUUGUCCUGCUUAUGUUGCAAAGGAGAGGCUCUGGGAUACCACUGAUACUGCAGAGCCUUUUGAAGCUGCCACCAGCUGUCAAUGCCAGUGACCUGUAUAAAUGAUGGCCCUGGACCUGUUCUCACUGUACAUAAUUCACAUUUAGCCAGGAAAAAAAUCACCAGUUGUCUCAAAAGAGGCCUAAAGACUAAGCAAUGUUGGGUAGUAGAUUUUACUCUUAUUUGUGACCCAUCAGGAUAAAGGCUAAUUCUUUUGGGGGCAGGUGGGAGUCUCCUGUUGCCAGUUACAUUUCUUGCCCUGUUAUGGUUACAUUCAGACCCCCAUGCUAGGAGAAUGCUAGUUGGCUGCAGGGGCUCCUUCUAGGGUAAAUUAGUAAGUCACCUGGUGAAGGCUCCUGGCAUAGCUGCCACGAUAAAACGGUAUAGGCUCCAGAUACAGGACCAUGCCAGUUGUCUAACAUGUUCCUACUAGGCUUUGGACCCUCAGACAUGUCCUCAUCCCCUGGUCUGGGGUACUGAACUCACCCUCAGCAUCAUGCUGUAAAGAUAUAACAGUAAGAGCUUGUGAAAUAUGAACUGGGCAUCGCCCUGUGGAAGUCUUCCCUCCACCAAAUGUUUGAGGGCCAUAUGACAUCACAUGGGAAACCGAAGUCGAGCUUCUGACCAGUGCCCACUCUGGCCCAUCUGCUCCACAAGUUCCUCUCCCCAGUCCACUUCGACAUAAGGCACUCUGCCUCACUUGCUCUUGGUGAGGGGAAGUGAAAUGAGGGGGCUUUGCUAUGGCCCACAAUAUAGUAGUAUGGCCAAGAAAGCUACUUUUGAGUCUUGCUUGUGACUGCUGAAAUUUCUUAGCAGAUGUUGUCUUCAAGCGUUUCUUGUGAUUGCUACUGGUGACUACAAAGAGCAUACAAGAGCUAAAAAAAGGGAGCGAGGAGAACUGAGGAUGUCUUGCUGGCCUUUGGUUUGUAACCAUAUAAAGACUGGAGUCAUGCAGUGUAGCACAAUGGAGACACCCUCUUGUUAGCUCCAAGAUUACACUGUGUAGCGAUGUCAAUAUAGACAUAUAUAGAAGCACAGAAUCAUAGAACAGUUUGAGAUGGAAGAAGCCUUAAAGCUCACCCAGUUCCAAGCCCCUGCCAUGGGGAGGGACACCUCCAGGGAUGGGGCAUCCAUGACUUCUCUGGGCAACCUGUGCCUGUGCCUCACCACCCACCCACUAAAAAAUUUCUUCCUAAUAUAUAAAUCUCCCCUUAAAAACUGUUCUCCCUCAUCAUUUCCCUGCACUCCUGAUGAAGAGCCCCUUCCCAUGUCUCCUGUAGUCUCCUUUUAAGUACUGGAAGACUGAGAUAGCUCUGUGCCCAAGAAAAAUCUUAUCAUUGAUUUUGAUCUGGAGAAGGGAGAUCUUUGCAGGUGUCGCUAUACUGUCUUUCAAGACCUGAAAUUUCAUCCUUGCACGGUAGCCCAACUUCUUAGAGGUAAUGUAGUGGGUCACCAUGCCAUCUCCCUGGACCUGGCAGAGACAUACAUGACUGCCACACUUCUAAGUUUCUGCCUUUUAGAGUAAAUGCUUUACAACAUGCCGAUUUUCUCUUUUAAGAAAUAAAAAACUAACUGAGAACUUGAUUACCUUGUUCUUCUGAUGACCUGAAUCGCAAGGUUUGCUGCAACACUUUCACAAGCUUGCUGCUGUACUUGUGCUUUCCUUUGGGUGACUUAGUGCUAUGCAGAGCAGCUUUGAGGGUACUCCAGUGAUUUAUAACAUGUUUUCUUGUUGAGGGCAUGUAUUUAUCAUGUUACAACAAACGAAUGAUUAAUAGUUGCCAUAGUGAUAGUGAAAACUUGAAGUCUUUGAGCACUAGAGUGCCGCAUGCAAGCCUUGGCACAUCUUUGCUGCAAAGUGAUCGUGGUGUGGUCUUAAAAAUAGAGACUCAAGAACCAGCGUCACUUAGUAACACUUUAACACCCUAUGGAGAAAACAUUAAAAAAUAAUCAUACGCUUAUUUAGAAAUGUGAAAAAAACAGAUGGGAAAGACUCAUUUCAGGUUUUUCACUGUAAGGAGACAUUUAAAUAUUUUCACAGACCUACUUUUCCUUUUUUUUUUUAUGCAACUGAAAGCUGCUGCUUUUUACUGCUAACCUUCCGCCUCUUCUUUUCCCCAGCACAACUUUGCUUAGUGAAAUGUUACAUGGGUAAAAUCUCCUCUUUCCAAGAUCCUGCCAAUGCCUCUCUUUAAUCCAAGGCAUAUAAUCACUUCUUAAGUCUGCUUACCAACCAGCAAUAAGAAGACUUUGCAGGGAUGCACAGAUUUACCUAUCAUUAUUUCUUGAUAUUCUGUGAAAGAAAAUAGUAUUCAGACAUUUGUGGGGAAUUCUAGGGCAUACGGGUUGUUGCUGAAGCUUAUAGCUGUUUGUUCAAGAUCAGGUUGGUCACAAGUCCCUCUAUAUUCAACAGCCUGUGCUGCACACUGCAGUGGUCAGAGUGAGGCUUGUUAGAGAUGAGAAACCCAAACCCAAUAUCUGGUAAAGUUAAUUCGAGUGAUGUGUCUUAACCGUCUUACAUUAUUCUCCCAGAAAUGGCAGGGCACAGGAAAAACUGACUCAGUUACCCUCCACUCAGUGUCAGCUGUGCAACAUUUAGCCUGAAAACGAAAAUUCAGCAAAAAUACAAAUAAAAUAUUGAGGGUUCUCCUCUUCUACCUGAUGCCUCCUGAGAUAAUUUGUAUAUGAGACUCUUGUAACCUACAGGGAGAAACAGAGAACAGACUUGGUGGCCAUUAACUACUACAGGAAUUAAUUAAAUGUGAAGGAUGGAAUCUGAAACCACUGGGACAUGCAUAGGCUUUGUUUUUCUUACCAAAACACUGAAAAAUUCCAGCUGAGCAUUUGGAAGAUGAGUUGACAGAUUUAUCCAGGAGAUCAGACAAAGAGCAAGGCAAGAAGUAUUGUGCCAAAGUAAAGGACAUGCACAAUAUUGUUUGCCAUCAAUGUGCAACUAGUAUCCUCCAGGAAGAAAGACAAGUGGUAAAAAACCUCCCCCUACAAUUACUUCUGCAUUUCCCCCCACUAGAUGAUUUUCCUGUGAACAGCUCUGAAACACCUGGAUCCUGUACUGUAAAACUGGAAUAAAAUUACUUUUCUUGCCUUCUCAGCUUAUAUUUAUGGGAUUUUGAAAGCACUGUCAGUUCUUUGGAGCAGUGCUGGUUUAAGGACACAGCCUCUGCCUGGGGACACCAGGCAGUCCUCACCUCAGCAGCAAUAAAUUGGAGGAAAGAGAACACCGUGCAUUGUUAGGAGUCCCGAGCAAUGUGACAGCUGAGGGAAAGCAAAGAUAAAGUGUUCUGGUGUUGCCAGCAAGGUAUAAAUAAUCAAUUAUUAGCCAGUACUUCUUUGCGAGCCAAUGUGGAUGGGAGGUUCAGUGCUAGCAGUUAUCUCCCAUUGACUCAGACAGCCCAACAGAAUCACAGGAU